AUCCAGCUGACGAGUCCCAAAUAGGACGAAACGCGCG
rnacentral:hammerhead_ribozyme from 1 species